UGGGGUUUUUUUUUGGGGUUUUUUUUUGUUUUGUUUUGUUUUGUCUUAGGUCUUUUUCAAGGCUUUACACACACAGGCUUCCCAUCCCCUACCACCCAUACGCUCCCUUCCCUCUGCCUAAUUUCAGAGUAAGGAAGCCACACAUGAUGUUUUCUCUCCAGGACACGGUGAACUGGCUGGCAGGUUGUCUGAUGAGAAGGAAUCUGCCCCGGGACACCGUGAAGAGGUGGGAUCUUCUGCUUGUUGUUUGUCAUGGAAAAGGGAAGACGCCUGCAUUCAACUGCUACUGAAACCAGGAAUGCCAGCUCGAAACCUGGAGCAUCAGCUUGGGAGGAUGCUGCUCUGACGGCGCCGUGGCUGAAGGAGGCUCAGCCCCACGUCCUUGGCCACCCAGAUCACGUGCCGAGGGCUGCGGCUGAAGCAGGGUUGGAGCAAAAAUACGAAAGCAAAAACGAUUUGGAGUUGACACAGUGUAUUGUGAAUUACUUCUCAGCUUUUCUACAUCUAAGAGAGCAUGAAAUGAUCGGCCGUACACGGAGCAGUUUAAUAUACAGUUGAUACAGAGCUGCAGAUAAUACACGUUGGAUCUAUAUACACACAGAGCUCAACAUUUCACAGAUACAACUUUUUGCCAUCUCGGUUUGUCCACGAAGCAUUGGCAGAGUAUUUACAGCGAGGCUGCUGCGAGGAAGCCCCGUCCCCCGUGCAGCCCCGGGCGAGGCUGCCCCAGCAGGGGUGUAAACAGAGCGCUUCUCUCUUUCUGCAAGGGAGGGAGAAGGUGGGAACACGGCUGCGCUGGGCAGGAGGGAAAGGAACCAGAGAUACCAGGAGAAAAUAAUGUCCAGCUAACCUGGAGACCUCAAAACACUUAAAUCUGCCUUUUAAAAUAUUUCAACUGGAAACUGUUCUCAAUUAAUUUUCAAUUUGUAAUUCAAUAAUGUUUCAAUGGCAUUUUCAAUUAAUGCUUUCUAUACAUCUGUAUUUCUAUCCAUCCCCUCGUGUGCUUGUGCGAGGCAGGGAGUGCUGAAGCCCUGGGUCAGUGCUGAGGGAGCUUCUCAAGGAAGCAGGGGAUGCUCAGGGGCUGUGCUGGCUCCCAGGCCUUGGCAAACCAAAGCCAACCCUGGUUUCAGCUGAUCACUCCAAAAAUAAUCUCUCUCCAGCUGUUUGUAAUCAGGUACCACCACCCUCGAUGCCCAGUGAUGGCUUUUACAGGGGGAUCACUGUGUGGACAGAGGGUGGGCAGAUCCAAGCCCAGCCCUCACCCCCAGCCCCAGCUGGGCGCGGUCGGACACAGCUCCGAUUCCCAGCGCAGGCUUUCAGUAACCAGCUGAAAUUUGUUCUGUAAGAAAAUCACACCAACAGGCAGGAGGGAAGGUGCAUUUACCAAGGUGUCCACGGCCUGGCUGCAUGGAGCGGGCAGCAGCCCAGGAGCAAACCCCCCCAGAGCUUGGGGACAGCUCGGCUGCUGGAGCUGCUGCUGCCCCGGCACCACCACGGGACCAACCUGGCAGCUCCUGCACUGGGCUGGAGCCAGGGCACACGUGCCAGGCUCCAUCCAUCCCAGGGCACACUUGCCAGGCCCCAUCCAUCCCAGGGCACAUGUGCCAGGCCCCAUCCAUCCCAGGGCACAUGUGCCAGGCCCCAUCCAUCCCAGGGCACACGUGCCAGGGGCACAUCCAGCUCCUUCCCAAUUGACUCCCCUUUCCCAUCAUUUACAUCCUUGCCUUGUCCCCCUCAGUGCUGGAAGGACCAAAGGGUAAGAAAGGAGGAAUCCAGCCCCUGCCACCAGCAAAGACAACAUUUGUUGCUAAGUUAAGAAUACUGCUUCAAGGAAAGAAGGAGCUUUCCUGAGCAAUUCAAUAACUAAAGCUAUCCAGGUGGGAUUGGGCAGUGAGUGGCUUUCCUGAGAGCACACAGGGGAGCUUGUUUAUCUGUUCCUGGGGAACUGGGUGAGGGUGGCCAAGGUCCUUGUCAUCUUUGGACACUGCUGCUGCCUCCCUGCAAACCAGAGACGCACCACUGAGCAAGAAAAAUUCCCAAAUACUCAGCACAACCUCAGAACUGUGUUUCUUGUCUCAGCAGAUGUUGCAGUUGUUAAGGCUCUUGGCUUUAAGGAGUUUAUUACUUUGGAAGUUUAAAGCUGUACUUGCAGGAGGGUGUAACAGGUCUCUGUCUCAGCAUAGGUAUCACGUAUGUCUGUAUCUCAGCAUGGGCUCUGAAACCAGAAGCAAUGAAAUUGGGGAGAGGGUCACUGGUAACCAUGGGCUCCUGAACAUCUGCUGGUGCCAGUGGGACCAUGCCAGUACCUGUGCAGGGGGCAAACACUGCCUGAGGCAGUGACACAGAGCAGAGCUGGCAGUGCUGCCACCCCCUCCUUUGGACAUGACGCAGUGGUACGUCCAGCACUGAAAAGAAACCCUGGGCUCACCUGGAAAAGGCAAAACUUCAGAGUCACUGAAGAGGCAUUUCCCCUCGGGCACACCCACAGAUGGACCACAUGCUGUGUCCUUCCCUGCCCUGAGCUGCAUCUGUCAGCACAAAUCAAUACAAACCAGCUUCAAUUCCAAAGAUGGAAUGCACUAAGGUAGAAACAAGUGAAGACUUGAGUAACUGAGGGAGGAAAAUGAGGAAAAACUUGAGAAAGUCACUUUGAUUCAUCUGAAGGAGGAUUUGAGAAUUGGUGGCCAAAUCAGUGACAUGCAAGUGGUGGCACUGGCUUACACCACA